GGAGGGGGUUAGCGUUGUUCGGAAUUACUGGGCGUAAAGCGCGCGUAGGCGGAUUAGAAAGUUGGGGGUGAAAUCCCGGGGCUCAACCUCGGAACUGCCUCCAAAACUGCUAGUCUAGAGUUCGAGAGAGGUGAGUGGAAUUCCGAGUGUAGAGGUGAAAUUCGUAUAUAUUCGGAGGAACACCAGUGGCGAAGGCGGCUCACUGGCUCGAUACUGACGCUGAGGUGCGAAAGUGUGGGGAGCAAACAGGAUUAGAUACCCUGGUAGUCCACACCGUAAACGAUGAAUGCCACUCGUCGGGUAGUAUACUAUUCGGUGACACGCCUAACGGAUUAAGCAUUCCGCCUGGGGAGUACGGUCGCAAGAUUAANACUCAAAGGAAUUGACGGGGGGCCCGCACAAGCCGGUGGGAACAUUGUGGUUUUAAUUCGAAACCAACCCCCCAAAAACCUUUACCACCCCNUUGAACAUCCNGUUGCCUACNUCCAANAGAAUNGANUNGUUCCCCNUNCNGGGANCCCACUUGACNGGUNGCUGCCAUGGCUUNUUCCC
rnacentral:rRNA from 1 species